UUUUCAAAUAUUUCUUCUGUGAACACGUUCUGUUUGUGUCAUAACUCAGAGAGUGUUUGCAGGGCCAGCACUCAGCCUCCAGCCAAGUUAGAUAAACAGGCUCACGCACAGUACAAGCAGAAUAAAAACUUCCGCCUCUGCUGCCCAGGCCUGUUUGGCCAGGAGGCGUCACUUCUGGAAAACUGUGGGCUGAGGCCCAGCCCCUGGCAGCACCCGUGUGCCCUGGGGCACAGAGCCAGAACCUCUGUCUGGCCAGGAUGGAGUUAUGUCCCCACUUCUCAAAUAAAGAACAAAAAGUGAACGGGGUGGGGAGAUGCUGGCCCAUCCCCAGCUCUCCCCACCUCUCUGUCUCACACCACUUCUCAGGAGCUUUGUGCUCAAUAUUCUGAUUCCUUGGCCUUCCAAGAGGCCCAGGACUAGGCUCAGCAACUGAGGUGCCGACUGAAGAGUGAGCAGACCUCACCCAGGUGCCAGCUCAUCGCCAAGGGAUCAGGGAGACAGCCUUCUUGCUGUCCACCGGCAGCCUCCUGCGGUGCCCUCUGACCCUGGUUCUUCUCACCAUCUGGGACUCAGGCGUGGUGACUCGUGGUUCAGUAUCUCCGCCAUGGGGACGUGGGACCUGGAGGGACCCCGAAGGCUGAGAAGCUCCCACAACCAGCCUGGCUUUGCUGGGGCCGCACUGAGAGUUGCCAAGUAGCCAGGCUCCUGGCAGGUGGCUGGGGUACAGCUGCAGUGUGACGCAAAGUCGCUCUGAGGGGCAGGAGCUCUGAAGAGGACGGCCCUGACCAUCCCGCGCCUCAUUUCCUGUGGGGCUUCGGCUCCUUGUUAUCACGUCUCUGGUCCUGUUUCUUCCUGAACCACAGGCCUGGGCUCACCUCAGGACCUUUGCAUUUGCUGUGAUCCUGGCUAGGUUGCUAUUUCCCUAGUAUACGCUUGGCAAUCCCCAGGAGUCAGUCUUUGCCUAAAAUCACGGCUGGCCAACCCUCCUGAGCACAAAGGCCUACCCGGUGUUUUCCGCUCGCCCCUCUCCCUUUGUCUUUAUCUGCAAUGCUACCCACCAGACAACCCCAUGCAAAUCCUGGGGUCCCAAGCGGGGCCCUGUGGCAAGUGAGCAUCCCAUCAGAAGGAAUUCUAUCUCUCUCAUGCUGAGCUGCAGCCCUGGCUCCAAGAUCAGUUGCCAGCAUAAGGGUGCUUAGUAAGUACUGUUGGAUGAAUGAGCGAGUGAAUGAAUGAAUAAAUGAAAGAGUGGAAGAACAGGUCGGUGAAUGCAUGCAUAAAUGAAGAUUAGAUGAACAUGUGAAUUAGCUAAUUCGGAGCGUACGGAUGAAUGUGUGCACGGGGGACUGUAUGCAUUAGUGAAUUAUGAAUGAGUGAGUGAGUGAGUGAGCAAAAAAGUGAAUGAAUGAGUGAACAAACGAGUGAGUGAAUGAAUGAGUGAACAAAUGAGUGAGUGAAUGAAUGAGUGGAUGAAUAUCACUGUUAUCACUGACUGAAUCAAGACUCAGCCUGCAACCGCCCCAGGACUGAGCCCUUGUGGAGGUCGCUGACAGAUGCAGGGUCGCCAUGCUGCUGGAGUCGGCAUCUGUCACCCGUGCUCCCGCAGGGUAUUGGCUCCUCCCCGCUUCUGGGCUUGUCUGGAUGGGGUGCUCCGUGGUGCAGUCGCUUGGCUGCCUGUCCGGGUCACACCUACGCGGGAGCGGCUACACACGCAGACCCCCGGGCAGGGGCACACACGCUGUCCUCACACACUCCUGUUCCCACCCAGAACUCCAGAUCUGGAUCCACAUUCGCACACAAUUAAACGAACACACCCAGCUUCUCACGAACACGCCCCAGCAAACAGGGCCUCAUGCCCAGACAUGUCGGCACACUCAAUAAUCCACACCGUGCCCUUGCCCGAGCGUGUACACACACACACACACACACACACACACACACACGCUAACACAUCCCCCGUUCUCCCCCGCCUCACCUCCCCAGAUGUCUGCCCGUCUUCUGCAGGGCACUGCCUCCAGGAGUGACCCUGAGCAUCAAGGACAGGGCACCUCACCAGUGCCCACCCUGCCUUUGGCGCGUCUUUGACCUGACCUCUGCCCCCGGCCCAGCUCAUCACAGUGGUGCGUGAUGCCCACGUCAUCCUUGACUGGGCCGCUUCAGGGCAUGUCUGCUGGCGCUGUCCUGGGCACCUACCCACUUCCUCCCGUCGUGGGCGGCAGCCUUGUCGACAUCAGCCGGUUUAGGGCCUGCCUGGCACCUCACAGAAAGGAAGGAAGCAAUCUGUCCCUACCACAGACAGCCAGAUGAAGACCUGUGACCCAGUCCUGUCACUCACCUGGAAGGAGCACGGCCUGGGAGGGGGAAGGUUCCCGAAGAGGUUCAUGGGAGCACUUUCUGCCGACUGAGAACCGCAGGUCCUGGACCCGAGGUAUUCCCAGCAUGCCAGGAGCUGUCCUAACCUCAGAACAGCCAUGGUCCCAUGUGACAAGUAGCACUGGGUCAAAGUCCCCAUGGCACCAAAUUCCUGCCCUGAGCCUGCCCUCUUUGCUGGCUUGUCUCCUGCUGUUUGCGGGGGGGGGGGGGGUCCAUUUGUCUCCUCUCUGUGAGCCCCAAUAUCCACAGCCCUCCAUGCUUCUGCUUGCACUGGGCUUCAGGGGACACCAAAGCCAUGCUGCCGGAGUGACUCUGGGAUAGCUGGUAAGGAAGGGGAGAGUGGCCUCCACCCUGGGCCAGGGUCUGUCUUCAGCGUCCUUGGGCUUUUGGUUCCAGGGCAGGAAAGACACUGGACCUGAGUCUGGGUCUCUAGGUGGAAAGUGGUCUUGUGUGACACCAAUAAAAACGUUUGCUCGCUCUC